rnacentral:lncRNA from 1 species
CUUAAUCUAAGAAUUUUUGUUGAGGUCAAAUUUGGCAUCAAAACUAUAUUUUUUUUCUUAGUAUUUUUUUUCUUUUACUUAUUUUACUUAUUUUUCUUCUCCAUUUGUUCCUCAGUUUCAAUCUUCUUUCUUCUUUCUAACUAACCUUAGUUAUCGGUUCCUCUCCUUGUUUUCCUUCUUUUUUUUCUCUUCAAUAUCGGUUUCUAGUUAUCGGUUCCUCUCCUUGUUUUCCUUCUUUUUUUUCUCUUCAAUAUCGGUUUCUCUCCUUGUUUUCCUUUUCUUUUUUUCUCUUCAAUAGCGUUAUUCACUUGUUCCUUAUCCUAUUUCUUUUCUUGUUCAUCAACAUCAUCCAUAUUCAUUUGUUCCUCAGUCAAACAUAUUUAUUUGUUUUUCAGCAUAUUUCCUUCCUCCCCACCAAUAUUAUUCGGUUGUUCUAUUUUCCUUAUUGUUUCUUUUUACCAGUCUUAUUUAUUUACUUCUCAUAAAAGAUCUAUUAUUAAUAUUUGUCAUUAUUCAAUGUUUUUCAAAUAAAAUUUAUUUUAAAAAAUAUUUUUAAAACAAUCAAAAUUAUCUCAAAUAUAUUAUAUUGAAAAAGUCUACUUAACACUUCAUCAAUAUCAAUAUAAUAUGUAUAUUUAUCACCUACUUUAAUAAAAAG